rnacentral:rRNA from 1 species
GUGAGACAGGUUGGUCUCUAUCUGUUAGAGGCGUUGAUGUUUGAAGGAAGCUGCCCCUUGUACGAGAGGAUCGGGGUGGACGAACCACUGGUCUACCGGCUUUGGUACCAACUGAAAUGCCGGGUAGCUAUGUUCGGACGGGAUAACCGCUGAAAGCAUCUAAGCGGGAAGCCUCUCCUAAGAUUAGACAUCGUUUGAGACUCCUGGAAGACUACCAGGUUGAUAGGCUUCAAGUGUAAGCAUGGUAACAUGUGUUUA